rnacentral:rRNA from 1 species
CCUACGGGCGGCAGCAGUCGAGAAUCAUUCACAAUGGGGGAAACCCUGAUGGUGCGACGCCGCGUGGGGGAAUGAAGGUCUUCGGAUUGUAAACCCCUGUCAUGUGGGAGCAAAUUAAAAAGAUAGUACCACAAGAGGAAGAGACGGCUAACUCUGUGCCAGCAGCCGCGGUAAUACAGAGGUCUCAAGCGUUGUUCGGAAUCACUGGGCGUAAAGCGUGCGUAGGCUGUUUCGUAAGUCGUGUGUGAAAGGCGCGGGCUCAACCCGCGGACGGCACAUGAUACUGCGAGACUAGAGUAAUGGAGGGGGAACCGGAAUUCUCGGUGUAGCAGUGAAAUGCGGAGAUAGCGAGAGGAACACUCGUGGCGAAGGCGGGUUCCUGGACAUUAACUGACGCUGAGGCACGAAGGCCAGGGGAGCGAAAGGGAUUAGAUACCCCAGUAGUC